UACAGAGGGUGCAAGCGUUGUUCGGAAUUACUGGGCGUAAAGCGCGUGUAGGCGGUCUGUAAAGUCAGGUGUGAAAGCCCCGGGCUCAACCCGGGAAGUGCACUUGAAACUCACAGGCUAGAGUAUCGGAGAGGUUGGUGGAAUUCUCGGUGUAGAGGUGAAAUUCGUAGAUAUCGAGAGGAACACCGGUGGCGAAGGCGGCCAACUGGACGAAUACUGACGCUGAGACUCGAAAGCGUGGGGAGCAAACAGG
rnacentral:rRNA from 1 species